UAAAGCUAGCCCAAACACCACCUAACUCAACUAUUCCAAAAAAACUUUUAAACAAAACAUUUACCCACAAUCAUUAAAAGUAUAGGAGAUAGAAAUUUUAAUAGGCGCUAUAGAGAAAGUACCGCAAGGGAAUGAUGAAAGAAAUAUUAAAAGUACUAAACAGCAAAGAUUACCCCUUUUACCUUUUGCAUAAUGAUUUAACUAGAAUAAUUUAACAAAGAGAACUUAAGCUAAAUACCCCGAAACCAGACGAGCUACCUAUGAACAGUCCUAAAGAACAAACUCAUCUAUGUUGCAAAAUAGUGAGAAGAUUUAUAGGUAGAGGUGAAAAGCCAAACGAGCCUGGUGAUAGCUGGUUAUCCAGAAUAGAAUGUCAGUUCAAAUUUAAAUUUACCUAACAAAAUUACUAUAACUUUAAUGUAAAUUUAAAUUUUAAUCUAAAGAGGUACAGCUCUUUAGACAAAGGAUACAACCUUCCUUAGAGAGUAAAAAUACAAACAAACCAUAGUUGGCCUAAAAGCAGCCACCAAUUAAGAAAGCGUUCAAGCUCAACAAUACAACUACCUCAAUUUCAAUAACAAUUAAACAACUCCUAACCCAACACUGGAUCAAUCUAUUAAUAUAUAGAAGGAACAAUGUUAAUAUAAGUAACAAGAAUUAUUUCUCCCAGCAUGAGCUUAUAUCAGAACGGAUAACCACUGAUAGUUAACAAUAAAAUAUACUCAACCCAACAAUUAACUCUAUCUAUUAAACUAACUGUUAAUCCAACACAGGCAUGCUCUACCUUAAGGGAAAGAUUAUAAAAAGUAAAAGGAACUCGGCAAA
rnacentral:rRNA from 1 species